rnacentral:rRNA from 2 species
GGACUACCAGGGUAUCUAAUCCCGUUUGCUCCCCUGGCUUUCGCGCCUCAGCGUCAGAAAAGGUCCAGUCGACCGCUUUCGCCACCGGUGUUCCUUCCGAUAUCUACGCAUUUCACCGCUCCACCGGAAGUUCCGUCGACCCCUACCUCCCUCCAGCCGAUCCGUAUCCGGGGCACGUUUCCGGUUGAGCCGAAAGAUUUCACCCCAGACUUGACCGACCGCCUACGCGCCCUUUAUGCCCAGUGAUUCCGAACAACGUUUGCACGGUUCGUCUUACCGCGGCUGCUGGCAC